rfam:Enterococcus durans ATCC 6056 genomic scaffold acyDB-supercont2.1, whole genome shotgun sequence.
AAAUAAAAGCAGAAGCACCCGCUUCUCGCCUUAGUUGACACAGUCACUGGGCUAGAUAGUUUUCAUCUACUUGGUUAGGUGAAUGACGUGCGGGUUCUGUAAGAGAACUCGUUUUUUUAUUGCCGU